rnacentral:rRNA from 1 species
GACAGAGGAUGCAAGCGUUAUCCGGAAUGAUUGGGCGUAAAGCGUCUGCUAGGUGGCUUUUAAGUCCGCCGUCAAAUCCCAGGGCUCAACCCUGGACAGGCGGUGGAAACUACCAAGCUGGAGUACGGUAGGGGCAGAGGGAAUUUCCGGUGGAGCGGUGGAAAUGCGUAGAGAUACGGAAAGAACACCAACGGCGAAAGCACUCGUGCUGGGCCGACACUGC